UACGUAGGUGGCGAGCGUUGUCCGGAAUUACUGGGUGUAAAGGGCGUGUAGGCGGGAAUGUAAGUCAGAUGUGAAAUCCCAGGGCUUAACCCUGGAGCUGCAUCUGAAACUAUGUUUCUUGAGUGCCGGAGAGGAUAGCGGAAUUCCAGGUGUAGCGGUGAAAUGCGUAGAUAUCUGGAGGAACACCGGUGGCGAAGGCGGCAUCCUGGACCAACACUGACGCUGAGGAGCGAAAGCCAGGGGAGCAAACGGG
rnacentral:rRNA from 1 species